ensembl:lncRNA
CGCUGAAUAUAUACCCCAGCCGACCCGGCGCCCCCUCAGUUCCUUCUUACCGCCCCUGACGGUCGUUGGAACUGUGGAGCGCGGCGUAGCUGUUCUCCACUCUCCCUAGCUUAUUCAGUCAUUCACAGUUAUAGUUAUAGUUCUAGUUGUUUAUAGUUAAAUAGUUGGUUUUUUCACUUGUUAAUAGUUGUUAUAUAGUUCAAGGGGAUUAAGGGGGUUGUCUCCCCCUUUUUCCCCCGGCCGCGUGGCUGGGCUCAUGCCCAAGGCUCCCGGCUUCAAGCAGUGCGCCUCCUGCGCUAAGCCUAUGCCAACGAGCGACCCGCACGACUCGUGUCUGAAGUGCCUGGGAGAGUCCCAUCAAAAAGAUAAGUGCAAGAUCUGUAAGGCCUUCAGACCGAGGACCAAGAAGGAGCGGGACUUUCGGCUCCGGCAACUCCUUAUGGAGGCGGCACUUGGCCCGGACGCUCCAUCAGCGCGUCAGGCCCCGGCACCUGGCACCUCGGUGCGCAGUGCCCCGGCGGCACCGACCAUUCCGACCACGCGAGUGGCGUCGGACAAGCCUCCACGGCACCGGACCUCGUCGGCACCGCAAUCACAGCAAGUGCCUCGGCGCCGUUCAUUAUCCCCGGGACAUAAAAAAGCCCAUAAGACGGGGACCUCCGUGCCGAAGACGCCGGCUCCCCCAGUGCCGGGGGUAGAGCCGCGUCCGCCUGUGGAGCACCGGAAACAGGUGCCUCCAGCACCGUCGACUCCGGCUCCGAGGCCGUUGAGUCCGGUGCAGACAGGGUCACCACCGAGACCAGCGGUGAUACAGUGCCUCCCGUCGACCCCAGAGACCUUCGCGACGGCGAGAGACUUGAUCGCUCUCAUGGAGCCGGCACCGCCCCAACCACCGGCACCGCCGGCACUGUUGACUCGUCCGGUCCAAUCUAGGGGGAAACCUGCCUUGAUGCGCCCUCCAUCGCAGGGGCUGGAACCACGGCACCGGUCCAGGUCCCGAAGCAGGUCCCCACGCCGCUCGCAGUCCCGGCGCCGGAUAUCACCUCGGCACCGGUCGUACUCGCGGCCAAGAUCUUCGUCGCGGCACCGCUCUACGUCUCGGCACCGCUAUGAUCGUCGGCACCGAUCAACAUCGAGACGUAGUUCUCGGCACCGCUACGAUCGACGCUCGACGUCGAGAGGCCGCUCCCGGCACCGGGCCUACUCCAGGUCAUCGUCGAGGUCCAGAUCCGACUCCCGGCACCGGCGAGGUCAUUGGCACCGAUCGCGAUCCCGGCACCGAUCGCCGGCACCGCGUAGAGAUAGAACAUCUCCGGACCGGCACCGUGCGGCACCGCAUCCCGCGGGAUUCGUCUCGGCGCACUCGGCACCGCCAUGGCCAUCGAGAUCGGUGUCUCGCUCCUCUGAGGACCUAUCGAGAUCGGCAUACCCCCCUCAGGGGCAAGCCGAGGAGCAGGACAUAGGCCAUUGGCAGGAGGUAGCAGAGGACCCUGCUCAUGGCCCAUCUCACUGGUCGUUCUGGACCCCGUGGGCGUACCAUCAGGCGCAAGGGGCUCCAAUAACUUCGACCUCUCGCUCGGGUCACUCCGACAGAAGGGCCCCAGAGUCCACCAUCUCUCGGCCUCCGCCAGGGGGCAUGGAGGCUUCCGUGUCCGCACCACCUGACGUCCUGGACCCAAGGGCAGGUGAUGCUCCGGCCCAGGAGCAGGGAGACCAGGAACCUCCCUUGGAUCCUUUACCACCGGAGGCAUCUUCCUCUUCCUCUCCGGAUGAGGCAGUGGCGGGCACGUCGUGCACAGGUCCACCCCCAAUAGAUCUUCGGGCUCAUCAGGACCUCCUACUUAGGGUGGCCCGUAAUAUGGACCUGCAGGCGGAGGAGAUAGUGGAGGUGCAGGACCCCAUUGUAAAUAUCCUCGCGGCGGAUCCCCCAUCAAGAGUGGCGCUACCCCUGAUCCGCACGAUCCAGGCUAAUGCAAAUACGAUAUGGCAAACUCCUGCCUCCAUCCCACCCACAGCGAGAGGGGUGGAAAGAAAGUACUUUGUCCCCUCCAAAGACUACGAGUACUUGUAUACCCAUCCCCAGCCGUGUUCACUGGUGGUGUCAUCAGUGAAUGCAAGGGAGCGCCACGGUCAACAGGCCGCAGCGCCCAAAUCGAAGGAGGCUAAGCGCCUCGAUUUGUUUGGCCGUAAGGUUUAUUCGG